UACGUAGGGUGCGAGCGUUGUCCGGAAUUAUUGGGCGUAAAGAGCUCGUAGGCGGUUUGUCGCGUCGGCUGUGAAAACCCGGGGCUCAACCCCGGGCCUGCAGUCGAUACGGGCAGACUAGAGUGAUGUAGGGGAGACUGGAAUUCCUGGUGUAGCGGUGAAAUGCGCAGAUAUCAGGAGGAACACCGAUGGCGAAGGCAGGUCUCUGGGCAUUAACUGACGCUGAGGAGCGAAAGCAUGGGGAGCGAACAGG
rnacentral:rRNA from 1 species